rnacentral:tRNA from 1 species
GGCCCUGUAGUGAAAUUCAUGACGAACCGCAAACUCGUAGAUGCACUUUAAAUUGUGCCUGGGCUC